UACGAAGGGGGGCUAGCGUUGCUCGGAAUCACUGGGCGUAAAGGGUGCGUAGGCGGGUUUUUAAGUCAGGGGGUGAAAUCCUGGAGCUCAACUCCAGAACUGCCUUUGAUACUGAAGAUCUUGAGUUCGGGAGAGGUGAGUGGAACUGCGAGUGUAGAGGUGAAAUUCGUAGAUAUUCGCAAGAACACCAGUGGCGAAGGCGGCUCACUGGCCCGAUACUGACGCUGAGGCACGAAAGCGUGGGGGAGCAAACAGGG
rnacentral:rRNA from 1 species